rnacentral:rRNA from 1 species
AUUGAACGCUGGCGGCAGGCCUAACACAUGCAAGUCGAGCGGAUGAAGGAGCUUGCUCCUGGAUUCAGCGGCGGACGGGUGGGUAAUGCCUAGGAAUCUGCCUGGUAGUAGGGGAUAACGUCCGGAAACGGGCGCUAAUACCGCAUACGUCCUGAGGGAGAAAGUGGGGGAUCUUCGGACCUCACGCUAUCAGAUGAGCCUAGGUCGGAUUAGCUAGUUGGUGGGGUAAAGGCCUACCAAGGCGACGAUCCGUAACUGGUCUGAGAGGAUGAUCAGUCACACUGGAACUGAGACACGGUCCAGACUCCUACGGGAGGCAGCAGUGGGGAAUAUUGGACAAUGGGCGAAAGCCUGAUCCAGCCAUGCCGCGUGUGUGAAGAAGGUCUUCGGAUUGUAAAGCACUUUAAGUUGGGAGGAAGGGCAGUAAGUUAAUACCUUGCUGUUUUGACGUUACCAACAGAAUAAGCACCGGCUAACUUCGUG